GAUGAACGCUGGCGGCGUGCCUAAUACAUGCAAGUCGAGCGAAUGGAUUAAGAGCUUGCUCUUAUGAAGUUAGCGGCGGACGGGUGAGUAACACGUGGGUAACCUGCCCAUAAGACUGGGAUAACUCCGGGAAACCGGGGCUAAUACCGGAUAACAUUUUGAACCGCAUGGUUCGAAAUUGAAAGGCGGCUUCGGCUGUCACUUAUGGAUGGACCCGCGUCGCAUUAGCUAGUUGGUGAGGUAACGGCUCACCAAGGCAACGAUGCGUAGCCGACCGGAGAGGGUGAUCGGCCACUCUGGGACUGAGACACGGCCCAGACUCCUACGGGAGGGAGCAGUAGGGAAUCUUCCGCAAUGGACGAAAGUCUGACGGAGCAACGCCGCGUGAGUGAUGAAGGCUUUCGGGUCGUAAAACUCUGUUGUUAGGGAAGAACAAGUGCUAGUUGAAUAAGCUGGCACCUUGACGGUACCUAACCAGAAAGCCACGGCUAACUACGUGCCAGCCGCCGCCGUAA
rnacentral:rRNA from 1 species